rnacentral:rRNA from 1 species
GAUGAACGCUGGCGGCGUGCCUAAUACAUGCAAGUCGAGCGAACAGACGAGGAGCUUGCACCUUUGACGUUAGCGGCGGACGGGUGAGUAACACGUAGGUAACCUACCUAUAAGACUGGGAUAACUUCGGGAAACCGGAGCUAAUACCGGAUAAUAUUUCGAACCGCAUGGUUCGAUAGUGAAAGAUGGCUUUGCUAUCACUUAUAGAUGGACCUGCGCCGUAUUAGCUAGUUGGUAAGGUAACGGCUUACCAAGGCAACGAUACGUAGCCGACCUGAGAGGGUGAUCGGCCACACUGGAACUGAGACACGGUCCAGACUCCUACGGGAGGCAGCAGUAGGGAAUCUUCCGCAAUGGGCGAAAGCCUGACGGAGCAACGCCGCGUGAGUGAUGAAGGUCUUCGGAUCGUAAAACUCUGUUAUUAGGGAAGAACAAACGUGUAAGUAACUGUGCACGUCUUGACGGUACCUAAUCAGAAAGCCACGGCUAACUACGUG